GUAGUGCGUCGCGGUGUCCUGCUGUGCGCGCGGCGGCUCCGCCGGGCGUUGGGCUCGGCUGCCGGAUACAGCUGGGUUCCGCCCGCGCUUUCCUUGCCCCAGGUUCGCUUUGUCUGUGCCGCCACAAGUCACUGCAAUCAAUGGUAGCUGCAGAUACUCAGUACCUUUGAAGAUCCAGCCAUAAAUGAGUUGCUUAAAGUGGUACUCCAAGUCUGGAGCAGAACUAAAAAUACAAAGCAGAUAUCCCGACUUCCAGUCUUUUUAGGGUCACUCAGCCCAGAUACAAGUGAAAUUCUCCUCUGGUGGUGAUAACAGUGAUGCUACUCAAUGAACUAUAACAAGGGCUCUAAAUGCAUCUCCUGUAGCAUACCACAGUGAUUUGCAAAAGUGGGAAUAAAUCAAAGCAGUGAAGAGAUGCCACAUUGAGCCAGAAGCUAAAUGUUACAUCUUGUUGCAUGAAGUAAGGGAGAACAGAUCCUGUUUUUCUGGUAGCACAAUAGCUUUGUGCUUGUUACCUCAGAUCCAGCCCCAUUAAAACAAUCAUUCAGAAUCUA